rnacentral:siRNA from 1 species
GGCAAUAUGUCUACGCUGGUU